GGGUUUGUGGCCUAGGGGUAUGGCAUCUCAUUUGCAUUGUUGUCUCUAUCAUAGACUGCGAAGCUUGAGAAGAUCCAGGGUUCGAUUCCCUGCGGAUCCA